CGAAAAUAAAUUAAAUAAUGAGAGAAAAAUAAAGAGCGAGUCUUAAUAGGGCGAUUGUCACUGCUUAUGGACCCGAACCUGGGUGAUCUAUCCAUGACCAGGAUGAAGCUUGGAUGAAACUAAGCAGAGGUCCGAACCGACUGAUGUUGAAGAAUCAGCGGAUGAGUUGUGGUUAGGGGUGAAAUGCCACUCGAACCCAGAGCUGGUUCUCCCCGAAAUGCGUUGAGGCGCAGCAGUUGACUGGACAUCUAGGGGUAAAGCACUGUUUCGGUGCGGGCUGCGCAAGCGGUACCAAAUCGAGGCAAACUCUGAAUACGAGAUAUGACCCAAAAAUAAUAGGGGUUAAGGUCGGCCAGUGAGACGAAGGGGGAUAAGCUUCAUCGUCGAGAGGGAAACAGCCCAGAUCACCAGCUAAGCCCCCUAUAUGACUUCUUCAAAACAGAGGAAAUAAUUGAAAUUUAAUUUUAAAUAAAAAUAUUUUUAUUUGAUUUUCAUUUGAGAUUUAUUCGAGUAAAUUAGGGAAAAUUGCAUUUAAAAAAAUUGCAUUAUAGCCCAGAAAAAUGUUCAUGUUGUCCUAAAUAUUAGUAUAGGACCAUGAAAAUUGCUUUUGGGAUUUUAUGAUUUUUAUUCAUUUUAUUUUGAAUUUUUUCGUUUCGGCAAAAUUAUUAAAAAAAACUUUUCGGACCGACUGGGCCGAAGCCCAGCCGACCCACG
rnacentral:ncRNA from 1 species